AGACACUAAAUUUUAGUCUUGAAUAAGUCUAAUUAGUCUCUCUUUAUUCAAACAUGAAAAUUAGUUGUAGAUAUUAUCAUCGGUUCAAAUACAUGGUAUCUAUUAACCGGUCUUUGAUUGUUUAGUCAUAGAUGUCUAUUUUUCUUGUAGUGCGUUCAUUGUUGCUUUGUUUGAGCUUGCCACCACCAAAAAUAUAUGAGUUAUGAGGUCCAUAGUGCAUCUAAGAAGCCCAAUACUAGCCAAAGAUCAUCUCCAUCAACUCUCCAAAACCCAUAUCAUCGGAUCUUGAAUAAUCAAUAAUCCCACUAAUCCGUUGAUCAUCCUCGCUCGUAAUUGUCUUCGAAAAAUAUGAAAUCAAACACAAAAACUAGAAAGUACCCGAAAAUAAAUAUAUAAUAACAAAAAGUAAAAUAUGCAGAAGAUUAACUAAAAAUAAAAGAAAAAAUAAGCUUAUAUAAACUCUAGAAAAAAUAAAUAAAAUGUACCUAUCAGGUUGUUUUAGUUGCAAACUGUACGGAUUUGUGAUCCUCUUUUGGAAUAUGUUUCUUAUUGUGGUUUUGCUGCCUUUACUAGGGAUCAACGACGGAAAUCAGAUCGCUAAUCUCUGGUUCCCUCCCAUAUUUUGUCUCAUUUUCAAUUCUCUCUCAAUAUUUUCGUUCCCCCCUAUAUCUCCCUCCCAAAUUCUCCCUCUAAAAAUAUCUUACCCUAAUUUCAACCCGUCACUCCUUACCUCCACGACCGUCGAUUCUGGCCACCCCACCCCCAACCCCUAACAUCACCAAUUUCUGCCGCCACCACACCCAUUAGCGCCGAUUCAUGACGUUAAGUACACCUCAGAUUCUCUUAGAGGUGUCGACAACGAAAUUGAAACACCACAUUAUGGGUUCUUCGAGUUUCUGUUGCCAAUCUCCAUGAUUCCAGAUAUGAAGGAUAAUCGUUAGUCGAGUGAGUAGAUGGCCAUGGAUGAGGAAUCAUCGCUUGUUGAUGAGAAUCAAAAUGGAACUCAAACACUUAUUCAUAACAGAGAAAUUCAUAUUCUAAUUUGGGUGUUCUUGUUGUUUUACCUGGCUUACGAUGCUGCUCAGAAUUUGCAGAGUACACUCAAAAUUGUGAGUUUUCUUUUUCUGGUUUCUACAUAUAUUCAGUAAUUUUAUGUUUAGUUAUUGUGUUAAAUUUGAUCAAUGUUUGUAUGUAGACUGUUAGGAGUGUGUAAUGUAGUGUUUCUAUGGAUCGUUUAAAUCCGAAAUAAUUCAUUUAUAUAUAAGAGGUGUAGAAAAAUGCAUCAUUUUUUAGCACAGAGAAGUUGGUGGAUGAACGACUCUAUCCUUUCCACAUUUCCGAUUAAUGAAUUAAUUAUUGAGAAAACUUUGCUAAGUUCAGUAUAAAAUUUGUAACAAAUUGAUGUCAAUUUGGAUUUGAGGAAUCAUAAUGUUAACCUCAAAAGUCAAGGUAUACGUUUUGAUGGAAUGGAGUCAUAGUUACAGAUGGUUGGUUGAUUAUUUUGUGUUAUAAAAUGUAUAAUGGUUGGUUGAUUAUUUUGUCUUAUAAAAUGUAUAAUGGAAUGGAAUCAUAAUUACCGAUAAA